rnacentral:lncRNA from 12 species
AAAUCUCACCUUAAAACAGGCCUUUUCAGGAACACUGACAACUGCAUGCCCUGUGGAGAUGAGGUUCCUUGAAUUUCAAAGCAUUGUUAAGGCUUGAGAAAGGAUCGAGAUAUUUAUCAGCUUACAAAGAGCUUCUUAGUAUUUUGGAAUUUCAAGAACGUGGUGCACAUUUUAAAAUUCUAUAAGGUUGGAC